rnacentral:misc_RNA from 1 species
GAUGAAGAACGUAGCGAAAUGCGAUAAGUAAUGUGAAUUGCAGAAUUCAGUGAAUCAUCGAAUCUUUGAACGCACAUUGCGCCCGCCAGUAUUCUGGCGGGCAUGCCUGUUCGAGCGUCAUUUCAACCAUCAAGCCCCCGGCUUGUGUUGGGGACCUGCGGCUGCCGCAGGCCCUGAAAACCAGUGGCGGGCUCGCUAGUCACUCCGAGCGUAGUAAUACAUCUCGCUCAGGGCGUGCUGCGGGUUCCGGCCGUUAAACAGCCUUACAAAACCCAAGGUUGACCUCGGAUCAGGUAGGAAGACCCGCUGAACUUAAGCAUAUCAAUAAGCGGAGGA